rnacentral:misc_RNA from 1 species
GGAAGUAAAAGUCAACAAGGUUUCCGUAGGUGAACCUGCGGAAGGAUCAUUAACAAAUCCAAUCGGAUGCAGGAGAGGGGGGAGGAGAUGAGGGAGAGGGAGAGGAGGAGGGUGAUUAUGGCGACUGGGUGAUGACAGGAUUGUUGUUGCUUGGUUGCGGUGAUGACCCACCUACGCGCUCGCUCUCACGCUCUUCUGCCCCUUUUCCAUCCAAUUAUCAUAUACACCCGACAUAUGGGUUCUCUCUCGGGGGAGCCUGUAUAUUCGGUUCUCGGCUCUAACGGGUCGAGACAUGGACGCUUGAAUGUUUGACUGAGUUUAUUUUAUCCCAUGCUCUUCGGGGCGGGGAAUCACAAUAAAGACAACUUUUAACAAUGGAUCUCUUGGCUCUU